rnacentral:rRNA from 1 species
GAUGAACGCUGGCGGCGUGCCUAACACAUGCAAGUCGAGCGAACAGACGAGGAGCUUGCUCCUCUGACGUUAGCGGCGGACGGGUGAGUAACACGUGGAUAACCUACCUAUAAGACUGGGAUAACUUCGGGAAACCGGAGCUAAUACCGGAUAAUAUAUUGAACCGCAUGGUUCAAUAGUGAAAGACGGUUUUGCUGUCACUUAUAGAUGGAUCCGCGCCGCAUUAGCUAGUUGGUAAGGUAACGGCUUACCAAGGCGACGAUGCGUAGCCGACCUGAGAGGGUGAUCGGCCACACUGGAACUGAGACACGGUCCAGACUCCUACGGGAGGCAGCAGUAGGGAAUCUUCCGCAAUGGGCGAAAGCCUGACGGAGCAACGCCGCGUGAGUGAUGAAGGUCUUCGGAUCGUAAAACUCUGUUAGUAGGGAAGAACAAAUGUGUAAGUAACUAUGCACGUCUUGACGGUACCUAAUCAGAAAGCCACGGCUAACUACGUG